rnacentral:rRNA from 1 species
UACGUAGGUGGCAAGCGUUGUCCGGAAUUAUUGGGCGUAAAGCGCGCGCAGGCGGUCUCUUAAGUCUGAUGUGAAAGCCCCCGGCUCAACCGGGGAGGGUCAUUGGAAACUGGGAGACUUGAGUACAGAAGAGGAGAGUGGAAUUCCACGUGUAGCGGUGAAAUGCGUAGAGAUGUGGAGGAACACCAGUGGCGAAGGCGACUCUCUGGUCUGUAACUGACGCUGAGGCGCGAAAGCGUGGGGAGCAAACAGGAUUAGAAACCCCCGUAGUCC